GCAAGAAUGGUUUAGUGGUAAAAUCCAACGUUGCCAUCGUUGGGCCCCGGGUUCGAUUCCCGGUUCUUGCA
rfam:Candida tropicalis MYA-3404 genomic scaffold supercont3.4, whole genome shotgun sequence.